rnacentral:rRNA from 1 species
AACGAACGCUGGCGGCAUGCCUAACACAUGCAAGUCGAACGAAGGCUUCGGCCUUAGUGGCGCACGGGUGCGUAACGCGUGGGAAUCUGCCCUUUGGUUCGGAAUAACAGCUGGAAACGGCUGCUAAUACCGGAUGAUGACGAAAGUCCAAAGAUUUAUCGCCAGAGGAUGAGCCCGCGUUGGAUUAGGUAGUUGGUGGGGUAAAGGCCUACCAAGCCGACGAUCCAUAGCUGGUCUGAGAGGAUGAUCAGCCACACUGGGACUGAGACACGGCCCAGACUCCUACGGGAGGCAGCAGUGGGGAAUAUUGGACAAUGGGCGCAAGCCUGAUCCAGCAAUGCCGCGUGAGUGAUGAAGGCCCUAGGGUUGUAAAGCUCUUUUACCCGGGAAGAUAAUGACUGUACCGGGAGAAUAAGCCCCGGCUGACUCCGUG